AGUUUGAUCAUGGCUCAGAACGACGCUGGCGGCAUGCCUAACACAUGCAAGUCGAACGAGACCUUCGGGUCUAGUGGCGCACGGGUGCGUAACGCGUGGGAACCUGCCUUUAGGUUCGGAAUAACUCAGAGAAAUUUGAGCUAAUACCGGAUAAUGUCUUCGGACCAAAGAUUUAUCGCCUUUAGAUGGGCCCGCGUUGGAUUAGCUAGUUGGUGGGGUAAAGGCCUACCAAGGCGACGAUCCAUAGCUGGUCUGAGAGGAUGAUCAGCCACACUGGGACUGAGACACGGCCCAGACUCCUACGGGAGGCAGCAGUGGGGGAAUAUUGGACAAUGGGCGAAAGCCUGAUCCAGCAAUGCCGCGUGAGUGAUGAAGGCCUUCGGGUUGUAAAGCUCUUUUACUCGGGACGAUAAUGACGGUACCGAGAGAAUAAGCCCCGGCUAACUCCGUG
rnacentral:rRNA from 1 species